rnacentral:rRNA from 1 species
GUCCACGCCGUAAACGAUGGAUACUAGCUGUUGGGGGCAACUUCAGUGGCUAAGCGAAAGUGAUAAGUAUCCCACCUGGGGAGUACGUUCGCAAGAAUGAAACUCAAAGGAAUUGACGGGGGCCCGCACAAGCGGUGGAGCAUGUGGUUUAAUUCGAUGAUACGCGAGGAACCUUACCAAGGCUUAAAUGUAGAUUGACCGGACUGGAAACAGACCUUUCGCAAGACAAUUUACAAGGUGCUGCAUGGUUGUCGU